AUACAAUUCGUACAUGCAUUGUGCUGGGUAACCAUCGUGCUGCCAUGAAAGUCAAAACAGAAUUUAAGGUAUCUGAAAAGCGAUGGUAUUGGCUUAAAGUUUUUGCUCUGGCAACAAUUAGGGAUUGGGAUGCCUUGGAAAAGUUUUCAAAG